rnacentral:lncRNA from 1 species
CACACAACGGGGUUUCGGGGCUGUGGACCCUGUGCCAGGAAAGGAAGGGCGCAGCUCCUGCAAUGCGGAGCGGCCAGGGCAGUGGGCACCAGGCUUUAGCCUCCCUUUCUCACCCUACAGAGGGCAGGCCCUUCAGCUCCAUUCUCCUCCAAGGCUGCAGAGGGGGCAGGAACUGGGGGUGACAGGAGAGCUGUAAGGUCUCCAGUGGGUCAUUCUGGGCCCAGAGAUGGGUGCUGAAGCUCCCACGCCUGCCUGUGAAAAUGGAGUCCUCUCUCACCUGGGAGAGCCAGGUGCUGCCCCGAGAAGGAUGCAUUUAUGGCUUCAUGAAGUCUUUCCUGACCCACGAUGCUGCUGACUAUAGAGACAAAGUCUCACUAUGUUGCUCAGGCUGGUCUUGAACUCCUGGCCUCAAGCGAUCCUCCCACCUUAGCCUCCCAAAGUGUUGGGAUUAUAGACAUGAGCCACUGCACCUGGCCGACCUUGGGCAAGUUCUUAAACCCUUCAAAGCCUCAUUUUUCUCCAAUCAUAAAAGGGAAAGAUGGUAAUAUUUUCCCCGCCAAAUUCUUGUCGGAUGCCCUCACAGAAUUGAGAUUAUGUACGCAAAACACCAGGUGCCUAACCCGGCACAGAGCAGGAGGGCUAAGUGUGACAUCCAGCACGUGGUCAGUGGAAUCCAGUAUUCCUACCCACCUCUCUAGUCUCCCCUCCACCCCUCUCCCUUUCAGAGGCACCAAGCUGCUUGUGGUCUUGUCUAUUCCCACUCCCUGCCUGACUGAACAUUUUCUCCACCUCCUGAUCAUCAGCAGCAGAAACUGGCUGCUCUUCCUCCUGGGUAGACAGCCAGACUGUAUUUCCCAGCUGCCCCUGCAGUGAGAUGUGGCCAUUGGAGCCAGCAUUGGCCAAUGGACUCUGCAUGGGAGUGACGCAUGCUGCCUCCAGGCUUGUCCCUAAAACCUCCCACGUGUCCUCCGCCUGCUCUUCCCACUUCCAAGGAGCACGGCAAUUGUGGAAGACUCAGAUUAGUGAUGGCAGAACCAUAGAUGGGAGGAACCUGGGUCCCUGACUUAAAGUAUCAUGGAUUUGGAUGUUCCCUUAGUGAGAAAUAAACUUCCAUUGUGUUUAAGCCUUUAUUUGUUUAUAGUUGGUUACAGCAACUGCCUUCUUUUAAUUAAAACACUCCUGCUGCU